CCCCGUUGCGGCUCCAGGGCAUUCGUAUAUUGAAUUACCUGGACGAUUGGCUGGUGUUAGCACAAUCGCAGACUCAAGCACACUCCCAUUGGGAUCUUGUGCUGAAUCAUCUGAACAGCCUGGGCUUACGCACAAAUUUCCAGAAGUGUGUUUUAAUUCCCUCUCAGUGGAUAACCUUCUGGAAAUAGACUUGGACUCUCGCGCGAUGACAACAAGACUAUCUCUCCCCCGCGUUCAGUCUCUCACGUCAUGCCUGCGCCAUUUCAUAGCAGGUCGCGCAGUGACGGUGAGUUUGUGCCUCAGACUUUUGGGUCUAAUGGUAGCGGCAUCCCCUGUAAUCCGUCUGGGCUUGCUUCAUAUGCACCCAUUUUCAGUGGUGGACGAAAAAGCCAAAACAUUUCACCCCGUUGUUUUCCACAUUUUACGAUUUCGGUGACACGGAGGUGUGUUAUGUCGAUAAAACCAUGGAUGUCAGCUAAAUUCCUUCAAACUGGAGUUCAGCUGGGGAUUCGUGCUUCCCGCGAGACUGGCACGAUGGACACGUCUUUGACCAGUUGGGGGACUGUUUGUCAAGGACACCCAGCUCACGGAGCAUGGACGGCGACACAACACAGCUGGCAUAUAAAUAGGCUGGAAUUGCUGGCAGUUUUUCUAGCUCUCCAGUAUUUCUUGAAUCUGCUGACCGGCCGUCAUGUACUACUCAGGUCAGACAACAUAGCGGUUGUGUCUUAUCUUUUUUUUUUUUUUUUUUUUUUUUUUCCAGCUUUAGUGAUUCUUUUUUUUAUUUUCUUAUUAUGCAAACAGACUAUUACAAUAUUUACAAAAAACAAAUUAAAUGCAAAAAACAAAUUCAGAGACCAACAUAACAUACAUAUCAGUACGAUUUGUGUGUGUGUGUAUGUGUGCGUGUGUGUUAGUGUUAGUGUCAUAUCUGAAUCAGCAAGGAGGAUUAUGCUCUCACCCCCUGUGCAGGCUGGCGAGGAUUAUUCUUCUUUGGUCUCAGAACAGAUUUCUGUCGAUCCGAGUGGUUUCAUUCCCCGGGCACUUGAACUUCAGAACGGAUUUGUUCUCCAGACAGAGCCUGGAGCAAGGGGAAUGGAGGUUGCACCCCAAAUGGUAGCCUUAUAUGGCAAGUAUGUGGAGAAGCGAAAGUGGACUUAUUAGUGUCGAGCACGACUACGCAUUGCC
ensembl:lncRNA